rnacentral:lncRNA from 10 species
UAAUCUUACUGAUAUUUAACAUAUGGGUUGAUGGUAGUACAUGUAUAUAAUUUUAAAGUAAAUAUACAUGUAUCGGGGUUGUGUGUUCAUAAGGUUGUUUUUGGCUGGCUUGUGUUUUGACUGAUAAGCACCUGGGGAGUUAUAUUAAUAUAUUUUGAACAUCAGCCUCGGGUGUGGGCCAGCUUCAGCUUCUCGUCUUUAGAUGAAGAGUUAUGGGAGCCAUUUAAGGAUUUUAAGCAGCAGAGUGCUUGAUCAGAGGUGCAUUUUAUUUUUAUUUUUACGUUUUAAAAUUUCAGAUUCAGGGAGUACCUAUGCAGGUUUGUUACAUGGGUAUUACAUGAUGCUGAGGUUUGGGCUUCUAAUGACCCCAUCACCCAGGUAGUGAACAUAGCACCCAAUAGGUAGUUUUUCAACCCUUGUCCCCUCCCUCCUUCCACCUUUUGGAAUCCCCAGUGUUUAUUGUUCCUGUCAGAGGUGGCAUUUUAAAAAGAUUACUUAGGUUACUGUGUGCAAGAAAGGAAGGCCAGUUAGGAGAUGAGACCAGUACUCCAGGGACUCUACAAUCAUGAGAGAAAGUUGGGGCCACAGGUGGCAGAAGCUAUGUUGACCUACUGGUGCUAUCAGCUUGAGAUCACAUUUG